CACCGCGGUUAUACGAGAGGCCCAAGUUGACAAAGACCGGCGUAAAGAGUGGUUAAUAUAGUAUAAACUAAAGCCGAACACCUUCAAGACCGUUAUACGUACCCGAAGGUAAGAAGACCCCCAACGAAAGUGGCUUUAACCAAGAUGACACCACGAAAGCUGUGGCA
rnacentral:rRNA from 1 species